ensembl:lncRNA
GUAGAAUGGCCUUACUGAAGAGAUCAGAGACCUUCAAUGUGGCACCGUCAUAUGAUGCCACCUUUCCAACAAGUCAGUUAUCAAGCGUCAGCUGGAGUGAUGAAUCACGCUUCACCAUCUGUCAGUCCAACAAACAAAUCUGGGUUUGGUGAAUGCCAGGAGAAGAUGCAGGCUAAAGUUAAAUCUAGACUUGGUUUCCUCUAUCGUAAUCGUUCCUCUUUCACCCCAGUUGCCAAACUAACCCUGAUUCAGAUGACCAUCCUACCCAUGCUAGAUUAUGGAUACAUCAUUUAUAGAUUGGCAGGCCUCACUUCCCCCGAUCUGAGCUAUCUACUGCAGCCCUCAUCCUCCAUAUACAACAUCCGGUCUGCCAGUCACAUUCUGUUAAAGGUCCCCAAAGCACACACAUCCCUGGGUUGCUCCUCUUUUCAAUUCGCUGCAGCUAGCGACUGGAACGAGCUGCAACAAACACUCAAACUGGACAGUUUUAUCUCCGUCUCUUCAUUCAAAGACUAAAUCAUGGACACUCUUACUGACAGUUGUGGCUGCUUUGUGUGAUGUAUUGUUGUCUUUACCUUCUUGGACUUUGUGCUGUUGACUGUGCCCAAUAAUGUUUGUACCAUUUUUGUUGCUACCAUGUUGUUAUGUUGUGUUGCUACCAUGCUGUGUUGUCAUGUGUUGCUGCCUUGCUAUGUUUUUGUCUUAGGUCUCUCUUUAUGUAGUGUUGUCUCUCUUUCAGCAUGUUUUGUCCUAUAUUUAUAUUGUAUUUUUUUUACACCCCAGACCCCCGUCUCCGCAGGAGGCCUUUUGGUAGGGCAUCUUUGUGAAUAAGAAUUUGUUCUUAACUGACUUGCCUAGUUAAAUAAAGGUUAAAUUUAAAAAAAAUUAAACGCUGCCUGCCCAAACGCAUAGUGCCAGCUGUAAACUAUGGUGUGGGAGGAAUGAUGGUCUGAGCUGUUUUUUUAUGGUUUGGGCUUUGCCCCUUAGUUCCAUUGAAGGGAAAUCUUAACACUACAGCAUGCAAUGACAUUCUAGAUGAUUCUGCGCUUCCAAUUUUGUGGCUUCCAAUUUGGGGAAGGCCAUUUCCUGUUUCAGCACGCACAAAGCGAGGUCCAU